rnacentral:lncRNA from 1 species
UCGUUCUAAUUUUUUAUCCAUUAAUUUAGCAAAACUGCAAAUACUCACUAAAUCAUUGGACUAACCACUAUAAAAUUGCUAUUCCCUAGAGAAACGGAGACAACAAAGGUUCCAAACCUCUUUGAAAUUAAUCUAAUGUUAUUACAUGAUUUAACUAUGCAUUAAAACAGUAUUGUCAAAUUUUUUUAAUUUUUUUCAAAAUCUAUGUGUACCCCUACGAAAAUAGUGAGUUUUCGGUAAAUGAUAUAUAUAUGAAGCCUAUAAUCUUUAAAUUUGUUUUAAAAUUUAAAACCACAUUAUACCUUUGUAUUAAUGUAUGAUAAUCUCCUUUUCAUGGUACAUUGUAUUAAUGUAUGAUAAACUUGCCUAUAAUCUUUAAAUUUGUUUUAAAAUUUAAAACCACAUUAUACCUUUGUAUUAAUGUAUGAUAAACUUCUUUUCAUGGUACAUGGACAUCGUUCUAAUUUUUUAUCCAUUAAUUUAGGAAAACUACAAAUAGUCUUUAAAUCAUUAGACUAACCACUAUAAAAUUGCUAUUCCCUAGAGAAAGGGAGACAACAAAGGUUCCAAACCUCUUUGAACUUCAUCUUUUUUUAUUACACGAUUCAAAUAUGUAUUAAAACAGUAUUGUCAAAUUUUUUGACUUUUUCUCAAAAUCUAUGUGUACCCCCUAUGAAAAUAGUGAGUUUUCGGUAAUUGAUCUAUAUAUGAAGCCUAUAAUAUUUAAAUUUGUUUUAAAAUUUAAAACCACAUUAUACAUUUGUAUUAAUGUAUGAUAAUCUCCUUUUCAUGGUACAUGGACAUCGUUCUAAUUUUUUAUCCAUUAAUUUAGCAAAACUGCAAAUACUCCCUAAAUCAUUGGACUAACCACUAUAAAAUUGCUAUUCCCUAGAGAAACGGAGAUAACAAAGGUUCCAAACCUCUUUGAACUUCAUCAUAUGUUAUAACGUGAUUCAACUAUGUAUUUAAUCAGUAUUGUCAAAUUUUUUGAAUUUUUCUCAAAAUCUGUGUGUACCCCCUUACGAAAAUAGUGAGUUUUCGGUAAAUUCUCUAUAUAUUGAAGUCUAUAAUCUUUAAAUUUGUUUUAAAAUUUAAAACCACAUUAUACCUUUGUAUUAAUUUAUGAUAAACUUUUUUUCAUGGUACAUGGACAUCGUUCUAAUUUUUUACCUAUUAAUUUUGCAAAACUGCAAAUACUCCCUAAAUCAUUAGACUAACCACUAUAAAAUUGCUAUUCCCUAGAGAAACGGAGACAACAAAAGUUCCAAAACUCUUUGAACUUCAUCAUAUUUUUUUACAUGACUCAAAUAUGUAUUAAAACAGUAUUUUCAAUUUUUUUGAUUUUUUUCAAAAUCUAUGUGUUAACCCCUACGAAAAUAGUGAGUUUUCGGUAAAUGCUCUAUAUAUGAAGCCUAUAAUCUUUAAAUUUGUUUUAAAAUUUAAAACCACAUUAUACCUUUGUAUUAAUGUAUGAUAAACUUCUUUUCAUGGUACAUGGACAUCGUUCUAAUUUUUUAUCCAUUAAUUUAGCAAAACUGUAAAUACUCCCUAAAUCAUUGGACUAACCACUAUAAAAUUGCUAUUCCUUAGAGAAACAGAGACAACAAAGGUUCUAAAACUCUUUGAACAUCAUCAUAUUUUACUACAUGAUUCAAAUAUGUAUUAAAACGGUAUUCUCAAUUUUUUUGAAUUUUUUUUUAUAAUCUAUAUGUUAACCCCCUACGAAAAUAGUGAGUUUUUGGUAAAUGCUCUAUAUAUGAAGCCAAUAAUUUUUAAUUUGUUUUAAAAUUUAAAACCAGAUUAUACCUUUGUAUUAAAGUAUGAUAAACUUCUAUAUAUGAAGCCUAUAAUCUUUAAAUUUGUUUUAAAAUUUAAAACCACAUUAUACCUUUGUAUUAAUGUAUGAUAAACUUCUUUUCAUGGUACAUGGACAUCGUUCUAAUUUUUUAUCCAUUAAUUUAGCAAAACUGCAAAUACUCCCUAAAUCAUUAGACUAACCACUAUAAAAUUGCUAUUCCCUAGAGAAACAUAGACAACAAAGGUUCUAAAACUCUUUGAACAUCAUCAUAUUUUACUACAUGAUUCAAAUAUGUAUUAAAACAGUAUUUUCAAUUUUUUUGAAUUUUUUUUCAAAAUCUAUGUGUUAACCCCCUACGAAAAUUGUGAGUUUUUGGUAAAUGCUCUAUAUAUGAAGCCUAUAAUCUUUAAAUUUGUUUUAAAAUUUAAAACCAGAUUAUACCUUUGUAUUAAUGUAUGAUAAACUUCUUUUCAUGGUACAUGGACAUCGUUCUAAUUUUUUAUCCAUUAAUUUAGCAAAACUGCAAAUACUCCCUAAAUCAUUAGACUAACAACUAUAAAAUUGCUAUUCCCUAGAGAAACAUAGACAACAAAGGUUCUAAAACUCUUUGAACAUCAUCAUAUUUUAUUACAUGAUUAAAAUAUGUAUUAAAACAGUAUUCUCAUAUUUUUUGUAUUUUUCUCAAAAUCUAUGUGUUAACCCCUUUGAAAAUAGUGAGUUUUUGGUAAAUGCUCUAUCUAUGAAGCCUAUAAUCUUUAAAUUUGUUUUAAAAUUUAAAACCAGAUUAUACCUUUGUAUUAAUGUAUGAUAAACUUCUUUUCAUGGUACAUGGACAUCGUUCUAAUUUUCUAUCCAUUAAUUUAGCAGAACUGCAAAUACUCCCUAAAUCAUUGGACUAACCACUAUAAAAUUGCUAUUCCCUAGAGAAACGGAGACAACAAAGGUUCCAAAACUCUUUGAACUUCAUCAAAUUUUAUUACAUGAUUCAAAUAUGUAUUAAAACAAUAUUUUCAAUUUUUUCAAUUUUUUUUCAAAAUCUAUGUGUUAACCCCUACGAAAAUAGUGAGUUUUCGGUAAAUGCUCUAUAUAUGAAGCCUAUAAUCUUUAAAUUUGUUUUAAAAUUUAAAACCAGAUUAUACCUUUGUAUUAAUGUAUGAUAAACUUCUUUUCAUGUUACAUAGACAUCGUUCUAAUUUUUUAUCCACUAAUUUAGCAAAACUGCAAAUACUCCCUAAAUCAUUAGACUAACCACUAUAAAAUUGCUAUUCCCUAGAGAAACAUAGACAACAAAGGUUCUAAAACUCUUUGAAAUUCAUCAUAUUUUAUUACAUGAUUCAAAUAUGUAUUAAAACAGUAUUUUCAUUUUUUUUGAAUUUUUUUCAAAAUCUAACCCCUACGAAAAUAGUGAGUUUUCAGUAAAUGCUCUAUAUAUGAAGCCUAUAAUCUUUAAAUUUGUUUUAAAAUUUAAAACCAGAUUAUACCUUUGUAUUAAUGUAUGAUAAACUUCUUUUCAUGGUACAUGGACAUCGUUCUAAUUUUUUAUCCAUUAAUUUAGGAAAACUACAAAUAGUCUUUAAAUCAUUAGACUAACCACUAUAAAAUUGCUAUUCCCUAGAGAAAGGGAGACAAUAAAGGUUCCAAACCUCUUUGAACUUCAUCAGAUUUUAUUACAUGAUUCAAAUAUGUAUUAAAACAGUAUUGUCAAUUUUUUUGAAUUUUUCUCAAAAUCUAUGUGUACCCCCCUACGAAAAUAGUGAGUUUUCGGUAAAUGCUCUAUAUAUGAAGCCUAUAAUCUUUAAAUUUGUUUUAAAAUUUAAAACGACAUUAUACCUUUGUAUUAAUGUAUGAUAAAAUUCUUUUCAUGGUACAUGGACAUCGUUCUAAUUUUUUAUCCAUUAAUUUAGCAAAACUGCAAAUACUCCCUAAAUCAUUGGACUAACCACUAUAACUUGCUAUUCCCUAGAGAAACGGACACAACAAAGGUUCAAAACCUCUUUGAAAUUCAUCAUAUGUUAUUACAUGAUUCAACUAUGCAUUAAAAUAGUAUUGUCAAAUUUUUUGAAUUUUUUCUGAAAAUCUAUGUACCCUACGAAAAUAGUGAGUUUUCGGUAAAUGCUCUAUAUAUGAAGCCUAUAAUCUUUAAAUUGGUUUUAAAAUUUAAAACCACAUUAUACCUUUGUAUUAAUGUAUGAUAAACUUCUUUUCAUUCCUUUUCAUGGUACAUGGAAAUCGUUCUAAUUUUUUAUCAAUUAAUUUAGCAAAACUGUAAAUAAUCCCUAAAACAUUGGACUAACCACUAUAAAAUUGAUAUUCCUUAGAGAAACGGAAAUAACAAAGGUUCCAAACCUCUUUGAACUUCAUCAGAUUUUAUUACAUGAUUCAAAUAUGUAUUAAAACAGUAUUCUCAAAUUUUUUGAAUUUUUCUCAAAAUCUAUGUGUACCCCCUACGAAAAUAGUGAGUUUUCGGUAAAUGCUCUAUAUAUGAAGCCUA